CAGACUCCUACGGGAGGCAGCAGUGGGGAAUAUUGGGCAAUGGGCGCACGGAACCCAGCCAUGUCGCGUGCAGGAUGACGGCCUUAUGGGUUGUAAACUGCUUUUAUAUGGGAAGAAAAGCACUUAUGUAUAGGUGUAUGCCGGUACCAUAUGAAUAAGCCCCGGCUAACUCCGUGCCAGCAGCCGCGGUAAUACGGAGGGUGCAAGCGUUAUUCGGAUUUAUUGGGUUUAAAGGGUCCGCAGCGGUUUGGUAAGUCAGUGGUGAAAUCCUACAGCUCAACUGUAGAACUGCCAUUGAUACUGCUAGACUAGAGUAAAGGUGAAGUUGGCGGAAUGUGUAGUGUAGCGGUGAAAUGCAUAGAUAUUACACAGAACACCGAUUGCGAAGGCAGCUGACUAACCUUUUACUGACGCUCAGGGACGAAAGUUUGGGUAGCGAACGGGAUUAGAUACCCCGGUAGUCCAGACCGUAAACGAUGAUUACUAUAUGUUUGGCGUUUUAUACCUGAGUGUACAAGCGAAAGGUUAAGUAAUCCACCUGGGGAGUACGUUCGCAAGAAUGAAACUCAAAGGAAUUGACGGGGGUCCGCACAAGCUGGGGAGCAUGUGGUUUAAUUCGAUGAUACCCGAGGAACCUUACCUAGGCCUAAAUGUAUUCUGACAGGUUUAGAGAUAGACUUUUCUUCGGAACAGGAUACAAGGUGCUGCAUGGUUGUCGUCAGCUCGUGCUGUGAGGUGUCAGGUUAAGUCCUAUAACGAGCGCAACCCUAUCCAUAGUUGCCAACAGUUCGGCUGGGGACUCUAUGGAGACAGCCCGUGCAAACGGAGAGGAAGGUGGGGAUGACGUCAAAUCAUCACGGCCCUUACGUCUAGGGCUACACACGUGCUACAAUGGUCGGUACAGAGGGUCGCUACCUUGCGAGAGGAUGCAAAUCUCUAAAUCCGAUCUCAGUUCGGAUCGCAGUCUGCAACUCGACUGCGUGAAGUUGGAAUCGCUAGUAAUCGCAAAUCAGCCAUGUUGCGGUGAAUACGUUCCCGGGCCUUGU
rnacentral:rRNA from 1 species